CCUACGGGUGGCAGCAGUGGGGAAUUUUGCGCAAUGCUCGUAAGAGUGACGCAGCGACGCCGCGUGAAUGACGAAGGCCUUCGGGUCGUAAAGUUCUUUCGACAGGGAAGAAAAUGCCUAUAAGUAACUGUGUAUGUAUUGACGGUACCUGUAUAAGCAGCCCCGGCUAACUCGGGGCCACAAGCCUCGUUAAUACGGGGGGGGCGAGGGUUGUUGGUGGUGACUGGGCGUAAAGAGCACGUAGGCGGUGUUGUAAGCCAUUAGUCAAAGACUAGAGCUCAACUUUAGUAAGGCUAGUGAUACUAUAAUACUAGAGUAUCAGAGAGGAUUGCAGAAUUCCUGGUGUAGCGGUGAAAUGCGUAGAUAUCAGGAGGAAUACCGUUAGCGAAGGCGGCAAUCUGGCUGGAAACUGACGCUGAGGUGCGAAAGCGUGGGUAGCAAACAGGAUUAGAUACCCGUGUUC
rnacentral:rRNA from 1 species